GAUGAACGCUAGCGGCAGGCUUAACACAUGCAAGUCGAGGGGCAGCAUAAUGAAGUAGCAAUACGGAUUUGAUGGCGACCGGCGCACGGGUGCGUAACGCGUAUGUAACCUACCUUAUACAGGGGGAUAACCUUUCGAAAGGGAGACUAAUACCGCAUAACAUUACUUUGAGGCAUCUUGAGGUAAUUAAAUCUUCGGAGGUAUAAGAUGGGCAUGCGUAGCAUUAGCUAGAUGGUGCGGUAACGGCUCACCAAGUCGACGAUCAGUAGCCGGACUGAGAGGUUGACCGGCACAUUGGGACUGAGAUAGGCCCAGACUCCUACGGGAGGCAGCAGUGGGGAAUAUUGGGCAAAUGGACGCAAGUCUGACCCAGCAACGCCGCGU
rnacentral:rRNA from 1 species